GAUGAACGCUGGCGGCGUGCCUAAUACAUGCAAGUCGAGCGAACAGACGAGGAGCUUGCUCCUCUGACGUUAGCGGCGGACGGGUGAGUAACACGUGGAUAACCUACCUAUAAGACUGGGAUAACUUCGGGAAACCGGAGCUAAUACCGGAUAAUAUAUUGAACCGCAUGGUUCAAUAGUGAAAGACGGUUUUGCUGUCACUUAUAGAUGGAUCCGCGCCGCAUUAGCUAGUUGGUAAGGUAACGGCUUACCAAGGCAACGAUGCGUAGCCGACCUGAGAGGGUGAUCGGCCACACUGGAACUGAGACACGGACCAUACUCCUGCGGGACGCAGCAGUAGGGAAUCUUCCGCAAUGGGCGAAAGCCUGACGGAGCAACGCCGCGUGAGUGAUGAAGGUCUUCGGAGCGUAAAACUCUGUUAUUAGGGAAGAACAAAUGUGUAAGUAACUAUGCACGUCUUGACGGUACCUAAUCAGAAAGCCACGGCUAACUACGUG
rnacentral:rRNA from 1 species